GGGAAAGGUGGAGUAUACUCAGAGUCUCUCCUAAGUGCUAAGAUUCUGUGAUUCUAUGAAAUCAGACCAUCAGAGAGGAAUACUGCAGUGUUCUCCUGCAUGGGUUGUAAAUGAGAAAAAAGAAAGAAGGAGAGCAAAAUGACUUAAAGACAUUUUCAAGAAAAAAAGAGGAGAGAAGUCACUGAAAUGGAAAAAUAAACAUAUUAUAUAACUAUUUAUUGCACUAUGCAAUAAAAACAUCUUCAGCAACAGCCACACAAGUGCGGGUAGAGGGUCUGCUUUGAAGAGAGAAAAAAGGCUGCUGCAGAAAAAACAAACCUCAAUUCAUAAUUGGAGCUUUUGUUCUUUCUGGAUUGUUUUGUGAAGAACAUGCUGCCAAAAAACAUUUUUCUUCUGUAACCGCUUCUUUUGAAACUCCAUUCUUUUUUAUUUCAAGGAUGUUUAUUAUCUACUCAUUUCUUUUUAUUUAUUUUUGAAUCAUAUACCCCAAUGUCUAGAUGACUGGGACCACUAGGUUUCAUAUUUCCCAGAUGAGAUUAGUUGUACAGUUCAUUUUGCAGGUUUAUUCAGAGCAUUUCAAUGGCAUUUCACCUACAGUUCACCUAUAUUGAGUCCUAAGAAAUUGAAGGUGUUUCUUGAUAGUUCUCCUGCUCCAUCUUCUUCCAGGGGAUUGAUUUGGCUUCUUAUGUUUUUGUAUUUGGUUGCUCAUUAGAGAUAAGCCUGAUUAUUUGGCAUUGUGUAUUUUCUCUGUUUUAAAAAGGGAAAAUACAACAUGUUAUUAAUUAUUAUGAUAUAAUAAAAAAUGGAGAGAAGGAAAAAG
rnacentral:lncRNA from 1 species